rnacentral:lncRNA from 1 species
GCAAGAGAAACUGAUCUGCGUGCAGGAAAAGUCUGCUUGUUUGAGCUCAUCGAUAGGGAUGAGACAGUGUUCGAAGUCUCCAUUCUGAGAGGUGCUGGUAAUGACCUGAUUCAUGUUAAUGGAGAUGAGCAUCGGAAGUAUUACCUGAGGCCAUUGCAGCAUCGAAAUGAAAUCAGGGGUUCCUAAUGAUGCCUCCUUAUAUUAAGCAGCGCAGCAGCGAAUCAAUCAAAAGCACUCUUUUCCGCUUUUUGUUCUCCUUUCUUCCUUUUUGUGCUAGUUUGAAUUCUAUGACUACCUUGCUUGGAAAGAACCUCCCAAAUCAGUGAAUCUUUAUGGUUUUGCACAGCGGCUCAACCUGACCAGUGGAUCUACAGGACAGUGAAGACAUAAUGCUCUGAUGUAUGUUCAUGGAGUAUUUCUCCUUUUAUAUGUUUUGUCUUUCAAAUAUUAUGGCUUGUCCUCGUCCUCUUCGUUCCCGGAGAGAAUACGAAGCUGUUGCCGAGCAGGAGACGACUCCUAGUAGAAGCCCUCACUUCUUCAGGAUCAUAUUCUUCGGGAUCGUACUCUCUGACAAGCUAAUUUGCUAGGUUAGGAGUUUUGAUCAACACCCUUGAGAGGUUCUUGAAAGUCAUUGAUCUCAAUUAAGCAGCAAUCCAAAGCAUUUUCUUUUAGAAGUGACUUGUCAUUUAGGGCUUGUUUGGUAAAAUCUAUCUUUGUUCCGAGGAACAAAAUUUCCGUUCUUUUGAUCCGAGGAACCAAAAAAGAAUACAAAUGUGUUUGGUAAAACUUUAGUUCUCGGGAACAAAAAAUACAUUUGGAACAGAAACAAGAAGUAGAAAAAAGUAAGGGAACAAUUUCUAAAAUCAAAUUUUUUCUCUUCUUUUUUCUUCUCUUUUCUGGCGACCUCGCCAGAGCGUCGCUAGCCCCCAGAGAUCACUAGCCCCCAAAGACGUCAAGCCACGGUGAGGGCCUCGCCUGGGUUAGAUUGCACGGGCAAGGUCAACCUUGCGCCACUUGGGCAAGGUCGGGCCUCGCUGGUGGCCUCAAUGCUUGCUUGGCCACCGAGGCCACCAGUGAGGCUCUGGCCCUCGCCUUGGUCUAGCAAGGUUCCAGUGAGCUCACUAGACCUUGCCUACUCACUGGACCUUGCCUAGCUGGUCGCGAACCACUGCCAAGGCGGAUGACCAGCUACAAAGGAGGAAGAAGGAAAAAUAUAAUAAAAAUAUUUAAAAAUUAUACAAUUUUACCAAACACAUUUCUAUGUCCGGAAUAGAAAUUUUUUACAGCUUCCAAGCGUGUUCUUAUACUCAGAAAUUGUUCUAGAAACAUUUAAAAAAAAAUCAUUUCUCAUAAAAAAAUUGUUCCAUGGAAUAGAAUCGUUACCAAAUGCACUGUUAGUUUUCUAUACAAUUCAAAAUCAACUUUGGGAAAAAGCACAAUGCCGAAGCCUCAAUCUGGUCGGCAUGUAAGUAUUUCUAAUGUUCAAAUUAGUGGCGGAAAAUAUCACUGCGAAUUUUGUUUUGCAUUGACGGUAAAUGGUCUAUUUUUUAUUAUUUUUUCUUUGAUGUUACAAGAGGCGAAAGCCUGAAAAAUAGAGUGGUUGGCCAUGGCGAAAAUUUUGUAUACAUGAUCUAAUUCUACAUGCCAUGAUCUAUAUGCCAAAAUUAGCAUAGCAAUGCAAUUACGAAUUUUAUAAGGAUUUGCACAAGCAAUCGACCUAUCUCUUGGACUUUCAACCUUCAACUUUCAACUUUCAACUUUAAACUCCUUGCGAGAUUGGUGUUCAGUGCACUCUGGAAAAAUAAAAUCGAAAUGACAUUAUGUUGGAAAUUUAAGUAAGAACAAUUUGAACAUGACGGGGAUCAUCAUGGAUGGGUCGUAACAUGUACAUAUAUGAAUGUAACCUAUAAGGGCGAAUAAGAGGCUAAAUAUUAAAAAAGUUGUUGAAAUAGCUUAUUAUCAUGAAAAUAGGUGAUAGUUAGAUAUGAAAAGAAAUGAUGGUUGAUCAUGAAAAGUGAUAAUAAUGGAGAAAAGGUACAUAUUCUCAAUAAAUGUAUUGAUUGGCUAUAUGUAAGUAUGACCAAAUCAUACAUUAUUCAACACUCCUGUUUAAGAAUAAUAGCCUUCUCUUUUUCAUAACUCUCUCUUCUUCAUAUUAUUCCGUAAUAUUAUUUUCUUUUUUUUUUCACACGCGAGUUUGAUAAUAUAUUCAAGAGAGAAAUUGAGUAAUUCUUGAACUCAUUUUCUUUUGUAGCUUUACUGUAUAUCUUGGAGGUAAGUGCGCCUUAAUAAUUGCGCAAUUAUUGGCACACCCGCACACGGGUAUGGUGGGGUCUAUCCCACACCCAAUCAUUUCUUUAGGUACACUAAAGAAAUCUCACACUUACUAAUUGACCUAUUUUCUCCAACUUUUCUUACAUGGGAUAAGGAAACAUGCACUUAGUUUGUUUUUACAAACAAACUUCCAACAAUAUUCACAAUGUCUAUUUUGGUUUAGUUAGUUCGUGCAAUCGUGUACUACAGAGAACAUAUCCUUUAUCUCAUUAUUUAUAUCAUGAUUACAUCAUGAGAUAAUUAACUUUAACAAUCAAUAACCACUUGAUUAACUUUUCUUUUCUUCCUUAAUUAUAAUUAUUUAUAUCAUGAUUACAUCAUGAGAAUUAUUGUGACGUCUAUGGUCAAUGGAAUCGGAACUCCACUGCCGGGUACAAUAUAUGGGAACUUUGGUUUAUGCUGAUGUAGUUACCCACAAAUUAAGACAAACAGGACAUCUGCCCAUAUAUGGAAAUAAUAAAUUGACUCUUGUUUAAGCAAUUAUGGGAUUAUUGAUUCGAAUAGACGUCGUGAAGGGAAAAAAAAUGAUCAAAUGACACAAAUUGCCACUCUAGUAAUCACAUAUGAAUAAAUUUUAUAUAAAAUCAUAUCAGAGUAACUAAUUUUUUAAAAGAACAAUUUUUAAAACCCAUUUUUGAUUAAAAAAAUGCUUGAAUUAUAUUAGUGUUGUGGAGAAAAAUGAUAUAUAUUUUGAAUAUUUACACAAUGUGAUAGAGGCGAUGUCAAUUCCACCUCCAUUUUGGCCAGUGCACUUAUUGUUUUAGGUUUUUUUUUUGUUAGUCAUACUCUAUUCCUACACUAACUCGAACUCUCACUCUCAGAUUUUUGUCUUGCCUCCCUAAAGGACGUGAGAGUCGAAACUCAUACUAGAAACUAAUUCGUCCACAUCCCAACCCUCUGAGAAUGUGGGGAUUCGAACCUCCCACUUCACCCUUCCAUCUUGGAAAGGUAGCCAUUGAAGCAAACCCCAGUGGUUUAUUGACUGAAAUACUCUCUCUCUAUUUUUAUUUAUUUAUUAGACUAAUCAACAAAAAUGACUUUAUUUCUAUCAUUUCUUUAAUCCAUUUCAUAAUAUAAAUGCAUUAUUAUAGCUAGCAAGACGUCAUCUUAUCUUUUGUUAUCACUUUGCUUAUAGAAGGUUGUUAAUUUUAAUUUAUGACCUCAUAUUUUUUAUCUUUAAAUCUAAAUAGAAGAUUAUAAAUUUAUAUUUAUGACAGCCCAUGAAUUCACAAUCAAUUACCUUUUUUUUUUUUUAAAUUCAAAUAGUUUGAGCUAAUCUAUAUUUCAAUGCUGAAAAUUAAAUUCCAAUCUUAUUAUUUAGCCGAUCUUGACCUUAUGAGUGUUUUUCCCAAUUAAGUUUGUAGGUUUCUAAAGUUAAUAUUGCUUAUUUUGUGCUUUCUUUUGGAACUUUUCAUAUUUUAAUUCAAAUUGCAAGAUGAGGAUUGAAAAUCUAGUUACAUCUCUUUCACUUUCAAAUCCACAAAUUAUUUUGGAGGAAAGUUUUAAGCAUAUUUUAAAGUUUUAAUCCACAUGCUAUGAGAAUAAAUCUUUAAUUGAUAUUAAGUAUCUAAUUCAUGGUAGAUGUACAAUAAGAAGUUCCCUCUUUUUUCCCUUUUUGUGCUUAUGCUUUGUUAAUAUCUAGGUAUGAUCCAAAUAUAAACAUGUUUAAAAUUUGAUCAUGCUACUAACACAUUAACCUUUUCCAUAAUUUGAUCCAUUAUUUUUUUUUUCAUUUUUUAUCAAGAUCAACUAGAUAAUUAGAUUGAAAUUUAAUUUUCAACUUUGAAAAAUAGUUUAGCUCAAAUUAUUUAAUAAAAAAUAGGCAACUGAACGUGUAUUCAGAAGCUGUCAUAAGUAAAAAAAAAUUAAUCUUCCAUAUAGCUUUUGUGAGUAAAAUAUUAGACCAUAAUUAGAAUGAACAACUUUCUCUAAGCAAAGUGAUAAGAUAACAUGAUGCAGGAUGAGAUAAUAUCUCGUUGGGUGUAAUGAGGCAUUUGUAAGUGAUAAGCAUCCGGUCAUCUGUUACUUUUGCAUAGGGUCAUUUUGGUUCCAAAAAUCAUUUUUCCUGAAUUAAAGCUGUCCGAAAGAGGGCAAAAUUGAGAAAGAAAUUAUGAAAGAAGAGAGAGCCAGAGUUUCGAAAUUUAGGGCUGACUCAGUUGGAUAUGACCCUCACCGGCUCUAAGUGGAGGGGAAGAAAUUAAAGAAAAGAAAAAAGAAAAAAAAUUUCAAAAUUUCAAAAAAUAUUAUUUAAAAGGUCCUUGUAGUCAAAAUUGGCCAACACAAAUGCAAAAAGAUUUUAGAUUGAAUUGAUAAUAAAAAAUAUUCAUAAUUGAAUUGACACAAUUACAAUAUGUUUAUGAUAUUUUUGGUAAUUCUCUCAGGCUCUUGUGCAUUUUCGUAACAUCUUAACGUUUUGUGUUGAAACAAAGAUGUUUGCAAGAAAGUGACAAUACAAAGAAAGCGGUUCUUGCAUAACCUUUUUGCAUUCCUUGCCUUUUAAGCGAUCAACAAUAUGUUUAUGGCUAAAUAAAAAUAAUAUUUCGAAAAAAUUACAUGGAUAAGCGCUUACCUGUAGGUGACGUGUUUCCAAACGAACUAUUCUCCAAUUUAAAGUAAUCUUUAUUUGGAGGCCCACCAUUCUACCGAAGAAGUGAAUGCGCUGAUUUAUGUGCAUUUAUGCCAAUUUGAUAGGACUGAGAAAUCAAUAUUGGGAAUUUGAGGACUAUUUUUAAGUGCUGACAAUCUUAAGUGUUAAAGUUAAAAUAAAAAGUUUUAGAUAGGGUACCAAUAAGUUUAUUUCCUUUAUUAUUAGCGGAUCAGAUUGGAUCAUAUUUUAUUAGGAGAGUAACAUUGUAACUUCGGGCCAUGGCCCUUUUUUUAUUACAAAAAAAAAAAAAUGUUUGACAAUCAUUGAAUAUUUGUAAUUUCUUUCCAAUUACAAAACUACAAUCAUAUUUGAUAGGUCGGAACCAUAUGAUCAGUAAGAUUCUAACUACUAUAAAUUAUUUUCUCAAUUUGAAUGAAUUAAGUAAUCCAUUUUUAUACGAAUUGGAUAAGUAAAUUUAUAACUUAAUUAAAUCUACUAAAUUAAUGAUAAUUGAAGUUAUCUAACAAGCUUAAUUUCUAACUAUGACAUGAGAGAGGACUCCGACCCUCUCCCAAAUCUAGAUAAGGGCCUAUGGGGCGUUGCUGGGGUUGAUGAAGGUCACCAACCAUCCCGAGGCCUUGCCGAACCCCCAUCCAUCACCGAGGCAUCAUAGGUUCUCCCUGGUGGGUCUUCUAUUAUUAUUAAAUAUUUAGCCUUGUCUUAAUCUAAUUUAACUAAGAUUUAGGUUAACGUAUAAUGAUUUCACUUAAACAACACUUUAAUCUUAUGCUUAGUCUUUAGUAUGUCAAUGUUACAUAAAAGAGAGAAAAUAAAAAGUAAAAAUGCAACAACCAUUAUCUAUUAGUUAAGUUGGACGAAAUUAAUGAAAUGACUUAAUUGUGUCAAUUUGAUAAAUUUUAUGAAUUGAUUGCACACUUUUAAAGUUUUAACGUUGGAUCGCACUUUUAUACUAAAUUUUAUAAACUCUAGUGCACUUAUCGCUAAAUAGAUUGCUCCAAAUGAUCAACAACAUUGAGGAACCAAAUUCUAUUGGGGUAAGGACAAGCUCUUGGAGUCCUCCAUCAAAUCAACAGUUAACAUUUAAUGGAGAUGGCAGUGGAUAGAUAACAAAGGGGCCAUAGGUAUUAUUGCACAAUCGGAUGGAGGCUUCGUUGUCCAAGCGUGGAGUGGAAGUGGAAGCUGUGACACUUCUUUUUGCAUGUAAAGCUGCUUAGUCUCUUGACAUCCAUAAAGUGAUGUUUGGAAGUGAAUGGAGUUUGAAGUGGACUUGUUAUAUUAUUAAUGAAGUUGCUCAUGAGCUUUCAAAAUGGGCCGACAUAUGCUUUCAUUUUAAAUGAUCUCUCUUCUAGAAUUAAAAGUAUAGUGUUAGCAGAGUCAUCUUUAAUUUAUCAUUUAAAUGUAAGCUCUAGUUUCUCCUCGUAAUAUUUGAACUACUUUGCUGCGAAGGAAGAUUUGUUUUAGCCACAAAAAAAAAAAAAAAAAAAAAGGAAACUGAUCAACAACGGUCUUGUCUUGUCUUGGCUUGUCUUCCGGACUUCCGGACUGAUUCGUACCGCGAAGAGACAGCCACCAAAAGGAUAAGGAUAAGCCACGUAACGCUCACAAAGAGUCCACCCAUCAGUUGCCACGUGUACACAGUGGGUCCCACUCCGACUCCGUCAGCUCCUCCCUUUCCGUUUCUUCACGGCGGCGGCGAAGCCUCCGGCGAGGGGCCCGGAGAUAGUGCGAAGACCAGCUCCAUGUCGCGUCGCGCCCGCUCGCUCUCACGCCUCAGCCCGUUCGAGAACCCUUCUUUCGCCUCCACACUUCCUCCGUUCUCGACUCGUCAUGGAACCGGCAUGCGCCCACCAGGCGUUCGACGAAAUUACUCUGUGGGGAUGAAGCAAAAUUCAACGUCGUGGCCCGCCACGGGGACUCGGAGGAGGAAGAACAGGCAGAGAGAGAGAGAGAGAGAGAGAGAGAGAGGGUAACGGAGCCGUCAAAGAAACGAUAAGGUCGGUAGGAAGCCGGGGUGGGGCCCUGCGUGUACCCGUGUCGAUUCGCGCAUGGACUGGAGCGCCCAAUAAUUUCUCCUCCCUCCGUCGCCGAACCACGCGUCGCCCGAUUCCGCACUCCCCCUCCACCUCCACCACUGACGUGCCGAAGAAGAGCAGCCAAAACCAUCUUCUUCUUCUUCUUCUUCUUCUUUAUCUUCUUCUUUUGUAAGGAGUCAGGGGACGCCGCCGUCUAUGGCUUCUUGUAGUGGUCGUCGCCGCCGCCGGAGAGAAGGUGGAGCAGCCGAGCGGGAGGCCGCGGCCGGUCCUCCUCGCCGUGGGAGCCGUUGCUUCUUCAAGUUCAUACUCUCCGGCGCGAUCGACUCUGGGAAGCUCGUGAGUCGGUCAAAUCUUCGCACUCUGUUUUUAAGAGUUUCUCUUGCUCUGUGCUGUGUACCCAUCAACCUGGAAAACGGGUCUGCGCGUUUGGUUUGGAACGAGCAAUGAACUUUUCGUUUCAAGCCGAAGAAAUAAAGAACAGGGUAUUCUCUAACAUGGCUGUCGAUCCAGCAAAAUUUCUCCUUUUUUCGUACUUCGAUGAUAUGAAAGUCUUCAUCGGAUGUGCGACCAGUUGUCCUAAACCAUGGUGAUGGCGGGCCUCAUGGCUGCUGCCAUGUCUUCUUCUGAAAUUUACUUUUUUGUAUAUAUAUUUUACGAUUUGGGUCGAUAUGGGUUUUCGGACUAUAGUGUUAUGCGCAUGGUUCAGGUUUCCACAACAUCCUUUGAACGUUGCUAUUCGGAAAAGAAGAGUAAUUUCAUGGAUACACAGAGUUAACUUACAGAUGUUGAUAUGACAAAAGUAAUGGGCUUUUCCAAUGAAGCAACCAUCACUACAAAUCAAUCCACAACUAUUUCGGAGUACACUUGUGGAAACUGAUCUUUCAUUCAUGCUGCAGAAUUUAAAAUUCCUUAGAUUUUUUCUUUCCCCUGUUCUCUGCACUUUGGUUUGACUAUGAUGAGUUAUUAUGAUGGACCCGUAAACCUUUUCAUAAUAGGGAAUUCCAAAGAAUUUCUUGAGAAGACGUGGGAAGGAUCUCUCAAACUCGGUGCUUCUUAAGGUUCCUGGCAGUUCAACCUGGACUAUAGAACUAGAAAAGCAUAACCAUGACAUGGUUUUGUUGGGGAAAGGGUGGCGGGAAUUCAUGGAGCAUUACUCCAUCGGUCAUGGUCACUUCAUAGUUUUCAAAUAUAAAGAGAACUCCACUUUUCGCGUAAUAAUAUUUGAUAAGAGUGCUUCAGAGAUAGAUUAUUCCUCGAGCAGGGGUGAACCAUCAUACCUUGGGAGCGAACUUCCCUCGCCAGAAGCAGAAGAUGUUGUAGAAACAGAUCGUCUGGAGGAUGUCAAACCCCGUCAAAGAAUGAGGAUGGAGCCACAUUUACCUUGUUCUCAGCUAAGUCCGAGUUUCUCACCGCGAGGGUCUGAAGGUGUGACUCUUCAUUUUAGAAGUCUCGUAUAUUCUUGCAUCACUCUCUUUUGUUAGCUCUUUUCCAAAAAUGCUUGUGAACUUUUUACAAUCUAAAGCCGCUAAACUGAUAUGGUAUCAUUACAUGAAAAAAAAGGCCUCUGCUAUGGAACAGAGUAGCUUUGCUAUUUCUAUUUGUAGCCAUGGGAAGUAGGUCGAUUGAUUUUAUGCCUAUCCCUUGUUUUGGAGCUAAAUGGAAGCUGGUCUCCUCCGUAUGUAGUUUCCAUGGAUACUGACCCUGAAGAACCACAUAUGGCUCAAGCUCAAGCUGGCCUGACAGAGAGGAGUAAACAGCCAACAUGCGGAGCGAGUCAUUCUGAGCUGGAUUUUCACGGUCCUAUGCUUCCAAGACCUCUCACUACUCCUGAAUUAACCCGCAAAAUUAAUUCCGAAUAUCCCUUUUUCAUAAAGGUGAUUAGGCGAUCUUAUAUGAGUAAACUGGUAAGUCUUGAGCUCAUCACGAGUAUAGUUCAAUUAUGACUGCUGGUACCUACAAUGCCAUGAUCACAUUAAUUGUGAUGUCCACCUAUUUGAGAUUUUUUUCUCCCAUCCAUAUAGUGUUUAUGAUAUAAUACAGUGGAUUACUACAACAAUACUCAUUCCAGGGAUUUCUCAUUCCACUUGAAUAAUUUCAUUUCUUGGUUGUUCAAACAUGUGCACGUGCAGAGUAUUCCAGGUGGAUUCUUCAAGCAGCAUAAGCUGGAAAAGCAAAGAGUAACUCUAAGGCAUGCCAACAGAUCAUGGUCAGUGAGUUUUGGCAGGAGCAACAGACACGUCAGAGGGGCUUUGUGUCUGUUCUUUUCUGCUGGUUGGGAUGCAUUUGCAAGAGAGACUCAUCUGCACAUAGGAGAUGUCUGCAUGUUCAAGCUAAUUGAUAGGGAUGAUAUUGUAUUCGAAGUCUCCGUUUUGAGUGGUGAGGACUUGAUUUACAUUGUUAAAAAUGAGUACUUGAGGUGUAACUUUAGGCUGUUUAUCGCAUGACUUGCAUUCUGGGUUUAUAAUUAUGCCUCCCUUAUUUGGCUUUCGUGUCUCUAUGUCAUUUUAAAAUAUACUCGUACGUUUUUAUAAGAACUUUGUGUGUUGAUUAGUAUUGUAAUAAUUGAGGCGGCAUUCUAGUUGAUUUGUCACUUCCAAUGUGAAGAGCACUCAUGUCAAAUUGUCUGAAUUUUUCAUUUCAUGGUAAUCAUAAUUUCCAAUCUAGGUCAAUUGAAGAAACGCUCCCACUAAAGUCCUUUUAUUCUCAGUUCUUCGCGGGAACAAACUGUCCAAACGCAAAUUGAAUCAUCAUGAGCUGGUUACUCGUGGUCCUAGACCUCCAAAGCCCCCCACUACACCUGAAGUAGCCAGUGAAUUUGAGUCGGAGCAUCCCUUCUUCAAAGUGGUGAUACGGCAAUAUCAUAUGAAACAUAUGGUAAGAUCUGAAGCCUAGUCCACGACUGGCAUAUCUUGAGUUCAAUUUCAAUUGCUAUAAAUCAUGCCUCGAUAUUGUGUUUUCCCAAGUUGAUUUGGUUUGUAUCGGAAACUUAGAUGACAUAAUAUAUUUCUUAAAGUGUCCAUGGAGAAACCUAAUGAUGGAGUAACGUGGAACCAUAAAAAGAUGAAUAAGUAAAGACUGUAACUGGGUCGGGACUGUCCUUUACUGGGAUGCCCCACAAGCUGCUCUAUUCACUAUCCAAGUGAAAGGAUGGACCGUCACUUUAAUGGUAAACUAACUGAAAAUAGCUAUUAAUGGAGUCACUUCUUUAAUAAUGCUUUUGAUUGCAGGUUAAGAUUGAUAACUUUCAUAAGCCCCUUAAUGCUUGUUGAUUAAAACUCUUGAACUAGCAAUUAUCGGCAAGAAUAUGCCUCAUGUGCUUCUUCUUUUUCACGUGAGUGUAUUCUUAUGAGAUGUCCUUUUAACAUACAGUGGUUUGUUCAUGCAUGUAUGAAUGGGCAGUAUGUUCCAAAUCAAUUUUCCCAGCAACAUAUUCAAGAAAACAAGGAAAUGGCGACUCUCAGGUUUUCAGAUAGAUCGUGGCCGGUGAAGCUCUUAAGCUAUACGCAUAAUAAAUACCAGGGGGUGUAUUUCUCUGUUGGUUGGAAAGAAUUUGCAAGAGAAACUCAUCUGUGCGUGGGAAAUAUCUGUAUGUUUGAACUCAUUGAUAGUGAUGAUGUUGUCUUUCAAGUCUCCGUUUUUAGUAGUGCUGGUAAGAAUCUGAUUCACAUUGAUUGAGAUGAGCAUUUUCUAAUUUAUUCGGUAGUUGUGAAUCAUGAAAAGUAUACCUUUUAUGUUUCUGUUUUCUUCUUCUUUGCACUAGUCUCAAUUCGAUUUUCACGAUGACAGUAAUUUUCACACCAAAUGACUAGCAAAUUUCAACAUGCACAUGUGCAGAGUGUUCCGGUUAAAUUUGUCAAGCAACAUCUUCACGAAAACAAACAAGUAGCAACUCUUCGGUAGGCCUCUCACGUUGCCCGAAUUUGCUAGCAAUAUUGAUUCGGAGCAUCCCUUUUUCAAAAAGUGACCCCCCAAAGUUAUUUCCAUGGCCUGGUGAGAUCUAAAGUUUAAAUCAUCACUCACAUAUCUCAUAUUCAUUUUUCACUGUUUCAUGUAUUGGCUAUUCAAAACAUGCACAUGUGCAGAGUGUUCCGGUUAAAUUUGUCAAGCAACAUCUUCACGAAAACAAACAAGUAGCAACUCUUCGGUAUUCGGACAGAUCGUGGCCAGUAAAGCUCAUUAGGAGCCUUGGACAGGCCAGAGGUGCUCCGGCUCUGGCCUUCUCCACCGGUUGGUGUGUAUUCGCAAGAGAAACUGAUCUGCAUGCGGGAAAUGUCUGCUCGUUUGAGCUCAUCGAUAGGGAUGAGACAGUGUUCAAAGUCUCCAUUCUAAGAGGUGCUGGUAAUGACCUGAUUCAUGUUAAUGGAGAUGAGCAUCGGAAGUAUUACCUGAGGCCAUUGCAGCAUCGAAAUGAAAUCAGGGGUUCCUAAUGAUGCCUCCUUAUAUUAAGCAGCGCAGCAGCGAAUCAAUCAAAAGCACUAUUUUCUGCUUUUUGUUCUCCUUUCUUCCUUUUUGUGCUAGUUUCAAUUCUAUGACUACCUUGCUUGGAAAGAACCUCCCAAAUCAGUGAUCUCUAUGGUUUUGCACAGCGGCUCAACCUGACCAGUGGAUCUACAGGACAGUGAAGACAUAAUGCUCUGAUGUAUGUUCAUGGAGUAUUUCUCCUUUUAUAUGUUUUGUCCUUCAAAUAUUAUGGCUUGUCCUCGUCCUCUUCGUUCCCGGAGAGAAUACGAAGCUGUUGCCGAGCAGGAGACUCCUCCUCCUAGUAGUAGCCAUCACUUCUUCAGGAUCAUAUUCUUCGGGAUCGUACUCUCUGACAAGCUAAUUUGCCAGGUUACGAGUUUUGAUCAACACCCUUGAGAGGUUCCUGAAAGUCAUUGAUCUCAAUUAAGCAGCAAUCCAAAGCAUUUUCUUUUAGAAGUGACGUGUCAUUUAGUUUUCCAUACUAUUCAAAAUCAACUUUGGGAAAAAGCACAACACCGAAGCUUCAAUCUGGUCAGCAUGUAAGUAUUUCUAAUGUUCAAAUUAGUGGCGGAAAAUAUCACUAAGAAUUUUGUUUUACACUGACGGUAAAUGGUCUAUUUUUUAUUAUUUUUUCUUUGAUAGUACAAGAGACAAAAGCCUGAAAAGUAGAGUGGUUGGCAAUGGCGAAAAUUUUGCAUACAUGAUCUAAUUCUACAUGCCAUGAUCUAUAUGCCAAAAUAAAGCCUAGCAAUGCAACUCCGGAUUUUAUAAGGAUUUGCACAAGCAAUCAACCUACGUUCUCUUGGACUUUCAACUUUGAACUUGCAACUUUAAACUCCUUGCGAGAAUGGUGUUUGGUGCACUCCCGCAAAAUAAAAUCGAAAUGACAUUAUGUUGGAAAUUUAAGUAAGACCAAUCUGAACACAAUGGGGAUCAUCAUGGAUGGGUCAUAACAUGUACAUAUAUGAAUGUAACCUAUAAACAAUGAGGUGAAGGGCGAAUAAGAGACUAAAUAUAAAAAGAGUUGUUGAAAUAGCUUAUUAUCAUGAAAAUAGGUGAUAGUUGGAAAUGAAGAGAAAUGAUGGUUGAUCAUGAAAAGUGAUAAUAAUGGGGAUAAGGGACAUAUUCUCAAGAGAUGUAUUGAUUGGCUAUACGUAAAUACGACCAAAUCAUACAUUAUUCAAUAAUCCUGUUCAAGAAUAGUAGCCUUCUCUUCAUAUUAUUCCCUACUAUUAUUUUCUUUUUUCACCUACAAGUUUGAUAAUAUAUUUAAGGUGAAAUUUCAAGAGAGAAAUUGAGUAAUUCUUGAACUCAAUUUUUUUUUUAUAGCUUUACUGUAUAUAUUGGAGGUAUAUUUAUUUUAAAUCAGUAGCAACAAUAGGAGUAAAUAAUACCUUAAAGACAGUCAUUUUUAUCAUGCAUCAAAGGACUAAAUAAACUACUGAUCUAUCUUCAUUAGGGAAUGAAGUUCCCAACAAGAGCAUGAUGGGUGAAUGAAUGAAACUGUGUAAUGGAAACUGAGUUAACACAAAAGACUGAGGUUGGUGGGAAUUAAUUUAGAACAAAAGAACCUGAAUAUUCGGCCAACGAGUUAACAAAGGAUAAAUCGAAAACAAAAACCAAGGACAGGCAUGCUGGCUUUGUUUUGUCGUUGACAUACUAGGAAGGCAUGACGUUAGAUCACAAUGAAAUUAUAAGACACGAUCGGGGUAUUGUGGAAAAUCAAUCAUCUCAUACCUGGGACGACCAAAUGAUGGAAGGUUUUCCUUGAUGGCUUGCGGUUUCGCUCUUCUUGAAUCCACGAAAGAGAACAUGCUUCCGAUGCUCUCCUCAAAACUCUCUCUCUCUCAGUACGAGCAUAUGCUCGGAAGAGUUCUCAGGUUAUGGUGACUUGAGAGAGAUGACAAAUAUGAGAACGUAAGAGAACCCUUCUUCUAUGUCUAACGUACUUUGCUGAAAUUCUUGUCGUGACUUCCCCAGAGGUGAACCAUCGAGGAAAAGUUAAUUAAUUACUAAGCAAACAAGGGUCUCCCAAACCCAUAUUAGUCGCAACUUUGGGAUUUUAAUUUAAUCAAUUAAACAUGCAAAUCAAUUUAUUUUUCUACUAAUCUAUUAGGGGUAGAUUGGAAAUCCAAGUACAAUGUAGGAGAACAUUUCACUUAUGCGAAUGAGAGAUUUCAUGAAUAAGAGGGCUUAGCUGCGCUAGAUAAAUCUAACACCAUCUCAAUACUUUUCUCUUUAUUUCAAAAUGUUUGGUAAGUAGUCUUGAUCAAUUUAAUCCUAAAUCACUAAUCAUGAGGGUGUGCAAACACUAAUUUAGCACUCAAUAAAUUACAACAAGAAAUAAAUCACUAAAAUAUGAUAAAAAAAGACACCCGGACCCUGGAGUGCCAAAAGUUGACACAAUAGGGUGCGCAUGACAAAAUUUUUAAAACAUAAAUUGAUUUCUGGCCAGAAAUUGAUUUUCCAAUUUCUAUUUCAGAAAUUGAGAAGUUAAAAAUUUUAGCUUCUGAUUUAUUCUUCAAAUUUAUUUCUGGAAUAUAAAUCUGUUCCAAAAAUAGAAAAAUCAAAUUGCAUUACCAAACGAAUUUUUGUUCCAAACUUGUUUCGGGAAACAGAAAAACAGAGAAAUAGAGAAAUAGAGAAAUAGAUAUUUUAUCAUGUAGCCCUUAAGUGCCAAAAGUUACGAAAGUGACACUUAAUGCUAGAAUUAGAGCAAAAUGAAUCACUUAAGUCUUAUCGGCCAAAAUGCUAACGUGGCAAUUUUCUGGCGAGCUACACACUACACGCAAAAUGACGUUGUUUUGUAUGCUGAUGUGGCUAAAUAGUGGCAAAACGACGUCAUUUUGGUAUAAUUCGAAUUUUAAUAUAAUAAUUAAUUAAAUUAAAUUUUAAAAUAAAUAAAUAAAUAUUUUUUUUUAAAAGGAGGAGGGAGGCGGCCGAUGGCUGAGGGCUCAGCCCUCGCUGCCCUCGCUACCACCUCCCCUUCGUCGUUGAGGAGGUGGGGGAGUGUCGGUCAGGGCUACCAAGCCCAGGCCAAGGGUCGGCAACCUUAGCUAACCAGUAGCAAGGGCUUGUGUGCCCUUGCCUAGCCGACCUAAGGGCUGCCACCUGCUGAGGGGUCGCCCAGCCUCCUCUGCCUUUGCCAGGCCGAACCCUACCACCAGUGGUGACCACCGACCAAAGAGAUUUACUUGCGAGGAGUGCAAGAUGAGCGACACCGUGAACGAUUGAGUUGUCAGACAACCUUGACCACUAGAGAUGGGUGGCGGCAAGGCAGCGAUAGGCAAUGGAGGUGGCGGUGAAUCGGAUUUGUGGAGGGAAGGGCAGAGUAAAUCGUGGCAUUUUGAGGGUGCGUUUAUGUCUCGAUAAUAGCUACCGAGCUAGGUUCAUUUUUAAGGGAUUGAUAAAUGGAUUUUAAAUGGGUAGAGAUUAAACUCAUUUAACACUCACAUAUUUUAGUCUCUCUAUUUUAAAAAUUCAUUAUAGUUACUUUGAGAAAUAAAACUUGACCUAUUGAUGGCCAUUUAAGCAAGUAUGGGUGUACUCAUUUUGACACCUCUGCAUCCGCGUUACGAGAGGCUAGUGUCUGAUUAACACUUCCCAUGAAUCUUUGCCUUGAUCACCGAGCCAUCUGAUUUUGCCAGGACGAUGGCCUCUAGAACGAAGGCUCCGCGCUCCUGUAGUUGAAGUUGAAACCCCCCAAACCAUCUUCAUCUUCUUCUGCUGUAAGGCGUCAGGGGACACUGCUGUCUAUGGCUUCUCGCAACGGUCGUCGUCGUCGCCGGAGAGAAGAUGGAGCUGUCGAGCGGGAGGUCGCGACCGGUCCUCGUCUUGGGAGCCGUUGCUUCUUCAAGAUCAUACUCUCCAACGCCCUUGAAUCUGGAAAGCUUGUGAGUUGAUCACAUCUUCAUCAGUGUUUUAAGAGUUUCUCGCUCUCUGUGCUGUGUACCCGUCAACCUGAAAAAACUGGUUUAUGGGUUCGGUUUGGAAUGAACUUUUCGCUUCCAGUUUAAAAAAGAACAAGAGGGUAUUGUCUGACAUGGCCUGUUUAUCAAACAAAAUUUCUCCUUUUUGCAUGCUUCGAUGAUAUGAAUGUCUUCAUCGGAUGUGCGACCGGUUGUCCUGAACCGUGGUGAUGGUGGGCCUCAUGUCCUCUUGGCUGCUGCCAUUUCUUCUGCUAAAGUUUGCUUUUUUGUAUAUUUGUUUUACGAUUUGGGUCGAAAUGGGUUUUCGGAAUAUAGUGUAAUGUGCAUGGUUCAGGUUUCCACAACAUCCGUUGGACAUUGCUAUUGGGAGAGUAAUUUCUUGGAUACACAGAUUUAACUGACCAAAAAUGAUAUGACAAAGUAAUGGGCUUUUUCUAAUGUGCCUUGCUUCCUUGGGCGGCAAAAUUGUCGUGCGCGAUCUCAGUCGUGGGAGAAAAGAAAAUCCAUGUCAGCUGUUGUAUGACAAAACGUCUUGGCCAUGGGAUCAAGAUAAUUUUAUGUCAACUUUGGAUUUGGCACGGCAAUUUCACUAAUUUUAGUAUAAACGAAUUUUGGAUUCUUGAGCUUUAUGCUUGUCCAAUGAAGCAACUAGAACUACAAGUCAAUCCACGACUAUUCUGAAGUACAAUUGUGGAAACUGAUCAUUCAUCCAUGUUGCAGAAUUUAAAGUUUCUUAGUUUUCUUCCUAUUCUCUGCACUUCAAUUUGACUAUGUUGAGUUAUUACCAUGGACCUUUAACUUUAAUUUUUUACAUAAUAGGGAAUUCCAAAGAAUUUCAUAAGAAGAUGUGGAAAGGAUCUCUCAAGCUCGGUGCUUCUUAAGGUUCCAGGCGGUUCAGCCUGGACUAUAGAACUAGAAACGUGCAACAAUGACUUGGUUUCGUUGUGGAAAGGUUGGCGGGAAUUCAUGGAGCAUUACUCUAUUGGUCAUGGUCACCUCAUAGUUUUCAAAUAUAAAGGAAACUCCACUUUUCAUGUAAUAAUAUUCGAUAAGAGUGCUUCAGAGAUAGAUUAUUCAUCGAGCAGCAGCAAAAUAUUGUACUUUGGGAGUGAAUUUCCCUCACCAAAAUCAGAAGAUGUCCUAGAAGCAGAAGAUCUGCAGGAUUCCACACCCUGUCAAAGAAUGAGGGUUGAACCACAUUUACCUUAUUCUCAGCUAAGUCUGAGCUACCCACCACAAGGUUUGGAAGGUGUGACUCUUCAUUUUUUAAGUCACGUUUCUUCUUACAUCACUCUCUUUAGUUAGUUGUUUUCCAAAAAUACUAGAAAACUUUUUUAUUAAAGUUUUUUCCUAAGCCAGUUUUUCAUGGUCCUACACCUCUGAGGCCUCUCACUGCUCCUGAAUUAUCCAAUGAGUUUUAUUCAGAGAAUCCCUUCUUCAAACUGGUGAUAAAUCAGGGUGGAAAAAUGGUAAGAUCUCGAGUUUCAUCCACCGCUGGCAUAUCUCAAGUUCAAUUAGGAUUGCUAGCUAAAUCUUGCCUCAGAUUAGGAUUGCUUGCUAAAUCUUGCCUCAGUAUUGUGUUUUCCCAAGUUGAUUUGGUCUGUAACUGAUACAAUAUGACAUGUUAAUAAUGGGAAACAGGGAAAAAGAAGAAUUAUAAUGUCAGGACUGUCCAUUCACUUAGAUAUUCUGCAUAAGCUGCUCUAAUCACUAUCCAAGUGAAAGGAUGGACAGCACUUGAAUGGAAAACUGUCUGUUAAUGGACAUUCACUUUUGGAGAAUUCUUUAGAUUGCAGGUUAAGAUUGAUGAUGCUUUAGAUUGCAGGUUAAGAUCAUUAAAUUUUGUGAGCCUCUUAAAGUCAUUGACUGAAACUCCUGAAACUAGCAAAUAUCACCAUGAUUAUUCUUCUUGUGUGCUUUUUCCUUAAAAUUGUGUGCUGACUCGUUUGUACAAACAUGUACAUAUGUGCAGAAUAUUCCUGUUGGAUUUGCCAGGCGAUAUAUUCAAGCAGACAGGGAAAUGGCGACACUUAGGUUUUCAGACGGAUCGUGGCUGGUGAAGCUUUUAAGAAAUUUGCAGGAUCACCAGGCAUGCUUCUCUGCUGAUUGGACUGCAUUUGCAAGAGAAAACUGUCUGCUUGUAGGAGAUGUCUGCAUGUUUGAGCUCAUUGAUAGAGAUGACGUUGUGUUCCAAGUCUCCAUCUGCCGUAGUGCAGGUACAGACCCGAUUCACAUUGAUUGAGAUUAACAUCAAAACUGUUACUCUAGGCCAUACGCAGCGUCCAUAGGAAUUCAGGGUUCCUAAUUAUGCCUCUUCAUAUGGUAGUAGCUAGUCAAUGAAAAAUAGACUCACGUUUUUUUGUUUCCUUCGUCUGCUAAAGUCGAUUCUAUAAGACCCCAUUUGGAAAGAAUCUCUCAAAUUAGGGACUUCGGCAAGUUUUCUGGUGGCUCAAACCUGACCUUUAGAACGGUAAAGUGUAGUGACAUUGAACACCCUUGCCUUAAGCCAAUAAGGGAUAAGUGCAUUGGAAGUCUUAAAAGUUGUUAUGAAAGUGCUAUGAGUCACAAAACUUCAAAAACUGUAAUAAAGUCAUAAAACUUAUCACAAAAGUGUAAUUAAGUCCUAAAACUUUCAAAAAAAGUACAAUCAACGGAAGGACUUGAUUGGACUUGACAAGUUUUUGUAUUUGAUUGCACUUUUUAAAAAAAUUUAGGACUUAAUUGCACUUUUUUGACAAGUUUUAGGACUUAAUUGCAAUUUUUGAAAGUUUAAGGAAAUUGCACUUUGGUUACAAGUUGUAGGACUUUUAAUGCACUUAUCUCUAAGCCAUGUACCAACUCUGAAUUACAAGGUGCAACCCAUGGUUUUACAAGCUCAAUUUGAACUUAUCAGAUUCUUUUCAUUUCUCUAUUUGCAUACUUGAAGACUUUAUAGGAAGUUUAUUUGCCUAGGGGUGCAUGUUGAAGUUUAUUAGUUUCUUUUCAUGUGGAGAGCAUUUAGAAUUUAUUUCAUCAAACUACCUGAAUCUUGAUGUGCAUGACAGAACAUUUUUCCAAUCUAUACUAAAUCUUUUUGUAGUUAGUCAGUUAAAGAAAUCUUCACACGAAUGUCUGCUAAAUUCCUCAUUGUUUAACUGGGGAAAAAGGAUAUCUAUUCUCCUGCCUUACCACUCGACCAUGCUGCUAAGAUGAUAAGGUGUCAUUCGAAAUAGAUUUAAAAAGUUGCCCACUGUGGAGCAGAGUAGCUUUACUAUCUCUAUUUGAGUUGAUUCCUAUCCUUAGCAGUUUUGGAACUAAACGAAACCUGGUCUUCUCGAUAUGUAGCUUGUAUUGAUGCUGACCCCGAAGAACCAGAUGUGUCUCAAGCUCCGGCGGACUUGACAGAUAGGAUCCAACAGUCUACAUGCAGGGUGAGCCAUUUGGAGCUGGUUUUUCAUGGUCCUACACUUCCAAGGCCUCUUGCUCCUCCUGAAUCAGCCUGCAAAUUAGAUUUGGAACAUCCCUUUUUUAAAAUGGUGAUGCCCCGAUCUUAUUUGAAUUGCCUGGUAAGUCUUGAGCUUAAUUCAUCACCGGUAUAUCUAGAGUUCCAUUAUGAUUGCUAUCACCUACAAUGCCGUGAUCACAUUAGCUGUUGAUGUUUAUGAGAGUUUUUCUAUGUUUAUAGUGUUCAUGAUAUAAUCCAAUAGAUUAUUACAUCAAUAAUCAUUAGUAACACGUAUUAAAAAAGGAUGUGGGCUAGCGAUUUCUUUCAUCCUUGAGCACUUUCAAAAGGAUAAAUACAUCUGUGGAUUUCUUCGACGUCAAAUGGUUACCUUCUUGCUUUUUGCCCUCCAAUUUAUCCUUGGAUUUCUCAUUCCACUUGAACAAUUUCAUAUCUCGGUUGUUCAAACAUGUACAUGGCCAGAGUAUUCCGCUUGGAUUCAUCAAGCAACAUAUCCAGGAAAAGCCAAGAGCAACUCUUAGGUACUCAGACAGAUCAUGGUCAGUGAAGCUCAUCAGGAGCAACAGACACCUCAAAGGGGCUUCUGCUCUGUCCUUCUCUGCUGGUUGGCGUGCAUUUGCAAGAGAAACUCAUCUGCGUGCAGGAAAUGUCUGCUUGUUUGAGCUAAUUGAUCGGGUUGAUAUUGUCUUCAAAGUCUCCAUUUUGAGUGGUGCCAGUAAGGACUUGAUAUACGUUGUUGAAAAUGAGUACUUGAAGUGUAUGCCUCCCUUAUUUGGUUGUGCUGCAUAACUGACGAGUACACUUUCUUUUCUAUGUUAAUUUAAAAUAUAGUGAUUUGUCUCCCUUAUUUGGUUGUGCUGCAUAACUGACGAGUACACUUUCUUUUCUAUGUUAAUUUAAAAUAUAGUGAUUUGUCUCCCUUAUUUGGCUGUGCUGCAUAACUGACGAGUACACUUUCUUUUCUAUGUUAAUUUAAAAUAUAGUGAUUUGUCUCUUUCGAUGUGAAGAGCACGAAUAAUAUUUUCAUUCAAAUUGUCUGACUUUUUCAUUUCAUGGUAAUCAUAAUUUCCAAUCGAUUUAUAUAUCUUAUUAUCAUAGGUGGUCCUACACCUCCGAAGCCCUUCACUACUCCUGAAUUAGCCAGUGUGUUUGAGUCAGAGCAUCCCUUCUUCGAAGUGGUCAUACAGCAAUGGCAUCAGAAUAAAUUGGUAAGAACUCAAGCCUAAUCGACCGGUGGCAUAAUUCAAGUUCAAUUACAAUUGCUGUAAAUCAUGCCUUGAUAUUGUCUUUUCCCAAGUUGAUUUGGUUUGUGUUGGAAACUUAACGACGGAUUAUAUUUCUCAAGUGUCCAUGGGGAAUCCUAAUGAUGGAGUAACAUGGAACUAGGAAAAGAUGAAUAAGUAAAGACAGUAUUUGGGUUGGGACUGUAAUUGAAUAUUCCUCACAUGCCACUCUAUUCACUAUCCAAGUGAAAGGAUGGACAGGCACUUGAAUGGUAAACUAACUGAAAAUAGCUUUUAAUGGACAGUCCUUUCUUAAAUAUUGCUUUGGAUUGCAGGUUAAGAUCGGUGACUUUCAUAAACCCCUUAAGGCUGGUGAUUAAAACUCUUGAACUACAUCAUGUGCUUUUUUCCUUGUUUUUCACGUGAGUGUAUGUUUAUGUGAUGUCCUUUUAACAUACAGUGGUUUGUUCCCACAUGUAUGAAUGUGCAGUACGUUCCCCGUCAAUUUGCCAAGCAACACAUUCAAGAAAACAGGGAAAUGGCGACUCUUAGGUUUUCAGACAGAUUGUGGCUGGUGAAGCUCAAAAGCUAUUCGCAUGGAAGCCUGAUGUUCUUCUCUGCUGGUUGGCCUGCAUUUGCAAGAGAAACUCAUCUGUGUGUGGGAAAUAUCUGUGUGUUUGAGCUCAUUGAUAGGGAUGAUGUUGUAUUCCAAGUCUCUAUUUUCAGUAGUGCCGGUAAGGAUCCAAUUCACAUUGAUUGAGAUGAACAUAGGAUGGGUUACUUUAAGCCAUUUGCUGCAUUAAUAUGAAUUCAGCAUUUCCAAUUAGCCUCAAAAGUGGACUUUUUCAUGUUUCUGUUUUCUUCUUUUCUGCACUAGUCUCAAUUCGAUUUUCAUGAUGACAGUGAUUUUCAAUCUAUGCUGGAUCUUUUCAUAGCAAGUCAAUUAAAGAGACAUUCUCACCAAUUCUAUUCAAUUUCUCAUUGUUUUACUGCAGGUGGGAUAGAGAAAUCGACAUGCAGAGUGGGCUGUUCUGAGCUGGAUUUUCAUGGUCCUACACUAUCAAGGCCUCUCAGGUCUCCCGAAUUUGCUAGCAAUAUUGAUUCAGAGCAUCCCUUUUUAAAAAAGGUGACCCCGCAAAGUUAUUUCCAUGGCCUGGUAAGAUCUAAAGCUUAAAUCAUCACUCACGUAUCUCAUAUUCAUUUUUGACCGUUUUCAUGUAUUGGCUAUAAAAAACAUGCACAUGUGCAGAAUGUUCCAGUUGGAUUUUUCAAGCAACAUCUUCAGGAAAACAAACAAAUAGCGACUCUUCGGUAUUUGGACAGAUCGUGGCAAGUGAAGCUCAUUAGGAGCCUUGGACAGGCCAGAGGUACUCCAGCUCUGGUCUUCUCUGCUGGUUGGCGUGCGUUCGCAAGAGAAACUGAUCUGCGUGCAGGAAAUGUCUGCUUGUUUGAGCUCGUUGAUAGGGAUGAGACAGUGUUCAAAGUCUCCAUUCUGAGAGGUGCUGGUAAUGACCUGAUUCAUGUUAAUGGAGAUGAGCAUCGGAAGUAUUACCUGAGGCCAUUGCAGCAUCGAAAUGAAAUCAGGGGUUCCUAAUGAUGCCUCCUUAUAUUAAGCAGCGCAGCAGCGAAUCAAUCAAAAGCACUCUUUUCUGCUUUUUGUUCUCCUUUCUUCCUUUUUGUGCUAGUUUCAAUUCUAUGACCA